rnacentral:rRNA from 1 species
UGGGGAAUAUUGGACAAUGGGCGAAAGCCUGAUCCAGCCAUGCCGCGUGUGUGAAGAAGGUCUUCGGAUUGUAAAGCACUUUAAGUUGGGAGGAAGGGCAGUAAGCUAAUACCUUGCUGUUUUGACGUUACCGACAGAAUAAGCACCGGCUAACUCUGUGCUAG